UGUCUAGUUAGCAAUUAUACCGCGAAACUGCGAAUGGCUCAUUAUAUAAGUUAUCGUUUAUUUGAUAAUACUUUACUACUUGGAUAACCGUGGUAAUUCUAGAGCUAAUACAUGCUGAAAAUCCCGACUUCGGAAGGGAUGUAUUUAUUAGAUUAAAAACCAAUGCCCCUCGGGGCUCUCUGGUGAAUCAUGAUAACUAGUCGAAUCGACAGGCCUUGUGCCGGCGAUGGCUCAUUCAAAUUUCUUCCCUAUCAACUUUCGAUGUUUGGGUAUUGGCCAAACAUGGUGGCAACGGGUAACGGAGGGUUAGGGCUCGACCCCGGAGAAGGAGCCUGAGAAACGGCUACUACAUCCAAGGAAGGCAGCAGGCGCGCAAAUUACCCAAUCCCGACACGGGGAGGUAGUGACAAUAAAUACUGAUACAGGGCUCUUUUGGGUCUUGUAAUCGGAAUGAGUACAAUUUAAAUCCCUUAACGAGGAACAAUUGGAGGGCAAGUCUGGUGCCAGCAGCCGCGGUAAUUCCAGCUCCAAUAGCGUAUAUUAAAGUUGUUGUGGUUAAAAAGCUCGUAGUUGAACCUUGGGCCUGGCUGGCCGGUCCGCCUCACCGCGUGCACUGGUCCGGCCGGGCCUUUCCCUCUGCGGAACCCCAUGCCCUUCACUGGGUGUGGCGGGGAAACAGGACUUUUACUUUGAAAAAAUUAGAGUGCUCAAGGCAGGCCUAUGCUCGAAUACAUUAGCAUGGAAUAAUAGAAUAGGACGUGUGGUUCUAUUUUGUUGGUUUCUAGGACCGCCGUAAUGAUUAAUAGGGACAGUCGGGGGCAUCAGUAUUCAAUUGUCAGAGGUGAAAUUCUUGGAUUUAUUGAAGACUAACUACUGCGAAAGCAUUUGCCAAGGAUGUUUUCAUUAAUCAGGAACGAAAGUUAGGGGAUCGAAGACGAUCAGAUACCGUCGUAGUCUUAACCAUAAACUAUGCCGACUAGGGAUCGGACGAUGUUACUUUUUGACGCGUUCGGCACCUUACGAGAAAUCAAAGUGCUGGC
rnacentral:rRNA from 1 species